ACCCGCUGAACUUAAGCAUAUCAGUAAGCGGAGGAAAAGAAACUAACUAGGAUUCCCCGAGUAGCGGCGAGCGAAAGGGGAGAAGCCCAGCGCCGAAGCCCGCGGUUCUCUUGACCGCAGUGCAAUGUGGCGUUUCGGCGGCGACAUCGCGGCCGUCCGCUCUGGCACGAGUAUCUUUGAAUGGGUCGCCCGCAGCGGGUGUCAGGCCUCUACUUGCCGGAGGAGCGGGCGUCGCUUGUCGUCGUCGCGGAGUCGGGUUGCUUGAGAGUGCAGCCCAAAGUGGGUGGUAAGCUCCAUCUAAGGCUAAAUACCUAGUGCGAGACCGAUAGCAAACAAGUACCGUGAGGGAAAGUUGCAAAGAACUUUGAAAAGAGAGUUCAAGAGUACGUGAAACCGUUCAGAGGCAAACGGACGGAACUGGGCGAUUCCGUCGUCGUCAUUCAGCCGCGGCCGUCAGGCCACGGUGCACUUGGUGACGGCGGAGCGCGACGACCGCCUGUCGAGUCGUCAGAAGCCCGGCGGCAAGGUGGCGACGCGCACGCGCGUUGUGUUACAGGCCGUCGAGGCGUUGGCGGACUCGGCGGGCGAGGAGCGCCCGCGGUGCACUCCCCUACGCGCGGGAGUGGCCCGACGCGGUGGGCUUGCGGACGCCGGCGUCGAACUGCUCGCCAGUUUGAUGUCGCGCGCGCCGUCUGUCGCGCCGCGCGGUGCCACGGGGCACCCGGGGUCCGGGUCGUGUGGUUCCUGGCACUCCGUCCGACCCGUCUUGAAACACGGACCAAGGAGUUGAGCACGCGCGCGAGUCGAUGGGCUCUCAGAACCCCAGUGGCGCAGCUAAGGCAAAACGGGCGUGAUCCGGCACUGGCGUGUCGGCGCAACGCCGGCCCGCAGGCGACUCGUCGCGAGUGCCUGCGGCGCAAGAGCGCGUGUGCUCAGACCCGAAAGGUGGUGAACUAUGCUUGAGCAGGGCGAAGCCAGAGGAAACUCUGGUGGAGGCUCGCAGCGAUCCUGACGUGCAAAUCGGUCGUCAAACUUGAGCAUAGGGGCGAAAGACUAAUCGAACCGCCUAGUAGCUGGUUCCCUCCGAAGUUUCCCUCAGGAUAGCUGGCACUCGGGAUAAAUGGUUUUAUCCGGUAAAGCGAAUGAUUAGAGGCAUUGGGGACGAAACGUCCUCAACCUAUUCUCAAACUUUAAAUGGGUAAGAGGCGCGACCCUUCCUGAUCGGGGUCGCGUGCUUGAACAGAGAGUGCCCAGUGGGCCGUUUUUGGUAAGCAGAACUGGCGCUGUGGGAUGAACCAAACGCGCGGUUAGGGUGCCUAACGCACGCUCAUGAGAGACCACAAAAGGUGUUGGUUGAUAUAGACAGCAGGACGGUGGCCAUGGAAGUCGGAAUCCGCUAAGGAGUGUGUAACAACUCACCUGCCGAAUCAACUAGCCCUGAAAAUGGAUGGCGCUGGAGCGUGCGACCCAUACCGCGCCGUCGGGGCAAUGCGUGCGCAAUGCCAGGCCCCGACGAGUAGGAGGGCGUGUCGGUGGCGUUGAAGCGUAGUGCGCGAGCACGCGUGGAGCCGCCUUCAGUGCAGAUCUUGGUGGUAGUAGCAAGUAUACAAAUGAGAACUUUGUAGACCGAAGUGGAGAAGGGUUCCAUGUGAACAGCAGUUGGACAUGGGUCAGUCGGCCCUAAGAGAUCGGAGAGUUCCGUUCUGAACGGGGGAGUGUGUAAGCGAGCCCGGGCGAACCUGCGGCGGAGGGCCGCGCGCGCGCGCGUCUAACUCAGAAAUAGAGCGCGCGCGCGCGUGUGCAAGGCCCUCUUGUCGGUCAUCCGCACGGCGCCAAGAACGAGCGGGCUCCAGCGCGAACCUCGAUGCGAUCGAAAGGGAAUCGGGUUAAUAUUCCCGAACCUGGCAGUGGAGAUUGGGCCCUCGGGCCCCAGUGCGGUAACGCAACCGAACUCGGAGACGCCAGCGUCGAUCCCGGGAAGAGUUCUCUUUUCUUUGUUAGGAGCGGACUCCCUGGAAUUGGCUUGUCCAGAGAUAGGGACGUUGCAUCCGUAAAGCGUCGCGCCUCACGCGGCGUCCGGUGCAUCGGCGUUGGCCCUUGAAAAUCCGAGGGAGGCAGUGUAAUUUUCACUCCAGGCCGUACCCGAAUCCGCAGCAGGUCUCCAAGGUGAACAGCCUCUGGUCGAUAGAACAAUGUAGGUAAGGGAAGUCGGCAAAUCCGAUCCGUAACUUCGGGAUAAGGAUUGGCUCUGAGGUGCGGGCUGCUUCGGGUCGCGGCAAGAAGCGGAUCGUGCGUUGGUUGGACUGGGCGCGUUUCGGCGCGUUCGGACCGCCGCCAGCGCGCGUCCGUGGGAGGCCGUGGCUUUCGCCGGCGAGGGCUCGCGCCCGCGUCGGCUUCGUUCGGCCUAAACGCACAGCACAGAACUGGCACGGACUCUGGGAACACGACUGUCUAAUUAAAACAAAGCAUCGCGAUGGCCGCUGGUCGGUGUUGACGCGAU
rnacentral:rRNA from 1 species